rnacentral:rRNA from 1 species
CAGGGAUUGCCUCAGUAACGGCGAGUGAAGCGGCAACAGCUCAAAUUUGAAAUCUGACCCCCUGCGGGGCCCGAGUUGUAAUUUGCAGAGGGUGCUUCGGGCGCGGCGCCGGUCUAAGUGCCUUGGAACAGGACGUCAUAGAGGGUGAGAAUCCCGUCUGUGACCGGCGGCCAAGCCCAUGUGAAGCCCUUUCGACGAGUCGAGUUGUUUGGGAAUGCAGCUCAAAACGGGUGGUAAAUUUCAUCUAAAGCUAAAUACCGGCCAGAGACCGAUAGCGGACAAGUAGAGUGAUCGAAAGAUGAAAAGCACUUUGGAAAGAGAGUCAAACAGUACGUGAAAUUGUUGAAAGGGAAGCGCUUGCGAUCAGACCGGUCCGGGGGCGAUCAGCCGCUGCUCGUCAGCGGUGCACUCGCCCUCGAUCCGGCCAGCAUCGGUUUGGGCGGCGGGAGAAAAGUCCCGGGAACGUAGCUUCCCUCGGGGAGUCUUAUAGCCCGGGUCGUCAUGCCGCCCGCCCGGACCGAGGACCGCGCUUCGGCUAGGAUGCUGGCGUAAUGGUCGCAAGCGACCCGUCUUGAAACACGGACCAAGGAGUCUAACAUCUAUGCGAGUGUUUGGGUGUCAAACCCGGGCGCGGAAUGAAAGUGAACGGAGGUGGGAACCCGUCGCACGGCGCACCAUCGACCGAUCCAGAUGUCUUCGGAUGGAUUUGAGUACGAGCAUAGCUGUUGGGACCCGAAAGAUGGUGAACUAUGCCCGGAUAGGGUGAAGCCAGAGGAAACUCUGGUGGAGGCUCGCAGCGGUUCUGACGUGCAAAUCGAUCGUCAAAUCUAGGCAUAGGGGCGAAAGACCAAUCGAACCAUCUAG